rnacentral:rRNA from 1 species
UUGGAGGGCAAGUCUGGUGCCAGCAGCCGCGGUAAUUCCAGCUCCAAUAGCGUAUAUUAAAGUUGUUGCAGUUAAAAAGCUCGUAGUUGAAUUUCGGGAUUGACACAUCGGUCGUGCCUUAAGGGGCAUGAACUGGUGUAGUCAAUUUCUCACCUUCUGGAGAACCGCGCAGUCCUUAAUUGGGUGACGCGGGGAACCAGGACCUUUACUUUGAAAAAAUUAGAGUGUUUAAAGCAGGCAUUUUGCUUGAAUACAUUAGCAUGGAAUAAUAAAAUAGGACGGCAUGAUUCUAUUUUGUUGGUUUCUAGGAUCACCGUAAUGAUUAAUAGGGAUAGUUGGGGGCAUUAGUAUUCAAUUGUCAGAGGUGAAAUUCUUGGAUUUAUUGAAGACUAACUACUGCGAAAGCAUUUGCCAAGGAUGUUUUCAUUAAUCAAGAACAAAAGUUAGGGGAUCGAAGACGAUCAGAUACCGUCGUAGUCUUAACCAUAAACUAUGCCGACUAGGAAUCAGACGAUGUUAAUUUUUUAAUGACUCGUUUGGCACCUUACGGGAAACCAAAGUGUUUGGGUUC